UUCCCCAGUCUGCAGCAAAUGUGCCACGUCAAGACUGGAAAUCACAGCCCUUGAGUGUGUCUCAGUCAGUGCAGCAGAAUUCAGGGGGGAUAGCCGAAUGCAACCCCUGGUGCAGGAAGGGAGGCUUUUCCCAAAGACCGGGACAGGAUUUUAAGUACACAGAUGGAAGCUUCUGGAGAUCCUGCUCCGUCGCCCCAGUGUUCAGACUACCUGUUCAGGACAAUGCCGUUGUACAGUAGUCUGCACAUUGGUUAGACUGGGCAGGGGAGCGCAACGCCACGGACGGCUGGGGACAGAAGUUGCUGUUUCCAAGGAGAAGACUUCUGUUUGCUUUUUCAAAUCUCAUACCCAGUGUUUUUCUUCACAGGUUUUGCACACUAGGGACCAAGAAGCCCUCGGGGACACCGCUGAGAGAGGACUGUUGGAAAGAAGACCUGUGGGAGAUAUACAAAUAUUUUAGAGGUCAUGGGAUCUAUUCCAGAGGAAACUAACCAACAGUGACAUCUUCAAGUAAAACUACCCCUGGAUAUGAUGGUGAGUAUUAAAAUUAAACACUGUACAUUGUCAGAAAGAGAAAAAUGUUUUCAGGGGUCUGUCCAAACUGCAGUUCAUUGAAGCUGAGUAGUUAUUUUUUGUUUUAGUGCGUGGAUGACUGGUAAGUUAGGCUAGGUACUGGGUUAAAAGGAAAACUUUUUCUAGCAUCUAAGAGAAAGGAAAUUAAGGGCUUUAGACUCAAUACCAUCAAUUCCUAAGUGAAAGAGGAUCAAUAUAAAAGUUUAUAUUUUCAAAACCUCACUCCCUUUUUUAAGCCAAAGAUCUCAAAAUCAAAGAAAGUUUGUUUACAAUGGGACGAAAUUUCACACUGAUCACUUUCUUGCAAUUAGUCAAUAGGUUUAACAUCCUUCCUGCUUGGCAUUUCUGUCUUUCGGCCCAGAUAAUGUGUUUAUGUUUUUAAAGACCAAAAUAUACUGUCUACCCCCACCUCUCGCCUUACAGACCACCCAAGUUUUUCACGCCGUGGGAAAAAGUUUAGGCAUAAAACUUCUAAUGAAAGAAUUUUUCCUUUUAUGUUCUUAAGGAAAUUUAAAAAAACUACAACUUGAUAAUGAGAAAAAGUUCACUCAUCCACCAGUGUCUAUCCUUAGUAAAGAGAAGCCAAAGCUUUCAAUUACUCUACAAGAGAUUUUUCUCUAUAAAAACAACCCUUUUUUCUCUUUUCUAAAGAGAAUAUCCCACCCAUCACAAUAAUGUCCAAAUAAUAACUAAGCGACCAUCACUCAGAAAUCUCAACUUAAAAUAAUUAGAAGGUCAGACUUUAACCUGAGAGGAGACAGGAAAUUGUCUUCAGUGAAGACAAACUUUCUUACUUGGUUUCUUCUAUCUUUUUACCUUAAUGUGCUACAAACUAUGUAGAUAGAAAUAUUUAUCCAUUUUUGAAAGUUUCUUAUUAACAAGCAUUAUCAGUUUUAAUAGAGAUGAUGAGGUAAAUUAAAGAAAAUAAUUAAAUAUUCAUUUUGAAUUUCCUGACCUAUCGUGACAGCCAGUUUCCUGAAGCUGCUUUGGCUUAAUUUUGCUGUAAAGGACUUAGAAGAUAAUUCUUUCAAUGCAUUUUUUCCCCUUAAGAUAAUAAAUAGAAGACAAAAGAAAAUGAGGUGUAAUAACCAUAUUAAAAAUUACAUGUUAUGAUAAUAAUGUAAAUAGCGCUUUUAUAUUUUAGCUAGUAUUUUACGUGAUAGUGGAUUGAUAUUCACUCUAUUUGGAAGAUUGGAAAAAAGUCUUAAAUGUUUUUUUCAGCCUUUCAUGUUUUUAACAAGGUUAAAGACAGGUCCAAUAGCACUAUAAAGUGUGCAUAUGCAACAUACUUACUACAAUUAUAGUUUAAAAAUCUAUUAGAAACACGAAUUAUCUAAAAGUCUUAUGAAUAGAGUACAUAUUUUUCAGCAAGAUUUUUUUUCUCCUUGAAAAAAAGUUAACGGUUUUUCAGGCUCAAAUAUUUUGGAUAUCUUGGUUUAAUAGAACUGUUUCAUAGUAAAAUAUAGCAUAUAAACUCACAAAUAUUUCUUUCUAUUUUUUCAGGUUGCAUGCAUCAUUCCUUUAAUUGAGCAGAGUUAACUGGAUCAAAUUAUUUAUGGGAGAGAGAGGGAAAGCUAUACAGAAUUACAGUAAUUUUUAAUUUCCACCAAUAUAUUCUUUGUAAGUGAAUCACUCUAAAUAUUUUCUGUUACACUGAAUGAAGCAACAAUAACAAAAUAGUUUCUUAAGGUAUUUGUUUUUGCAUACUCUGACCUUGUAAUUAUCUAAAUAGCAGCCAAGUUUACUGACAUUUUUGAUUCUAUCAGAAAAAAAAAAAUUCUCUACUCAGAAUGAUGACCAGAAACAGAAUCAGACAUUUAUUUUCUUGAAAUCAAAUAAAUGGAAAUUUUCACUUAUCAACUAAUUGUACCAUAUCUAAUUAAUGCAUAAAAGUUCAGAUGUGUAGAAACUGUGAUUUUUUUAAGUCUCUACAAACAUUUUCCUCUCCAUAAAGCUUCUACUUGCUAUUUUCUCAUAAUUUUAUCAUUAAAGGGAAAUAACAAACUAUGUGUUUUCCUUAAAAUUCUUUGAAAAAACUCCAAGGCACAUACUCCUUGACAAUAAGGUUUUGUUUUGUUUUUGAAGAAAUCCCACUUACUGGAAUUUUGACUAUCUAAAUAUUUUGGUUUUUAAAGGGCAGGGGAACUUGUUAAAUACCUCUAUGAAUGUGAAUUGAUCAUUGAUAUUAAAAUAGCCAGAAUUAUUCUUGAGUCAUCAGAAUUACAUUUCUCUGUUUAACACCAUUAACUCUUUCUUACACAAAGUACAAGAAAAUUUUCCAAAGGGUUUGGUUCUACUUUUUGGAUAUGAAAUGAAGUUUCCUUUUCUGUGUUUAAGGUAUUAUUUUGUAACUGUAUGGUACCAUCAAUGUCCACAACACAUUCUGAGCAUCACUGUGUGUAACAACUUUUAGUUUAUACCCUUUUGAUUCAUGGCAUGGCGCUGUAGUUAAUUAGGAGAAGCACGUAAGCUCACAAUGGCUUUUUAUCUGGUUUUCACAUCCAUACUUAAAAACUUUACAUUAAAAAGAAUAUGAGAAAUUUAAAUAAGUUCCUGUUGCUUUAUGGAGUAUUGGCAAAAAUACAUUCCCAUGUAAAAUCCCACUCUCAAAGCAUCAGAUACCAAAGUUGGCUGGUUGAACUGCCAGAUACACUAGGCUCAUAAAUUAUUUUGAAAAUGGCUGCCGUUUCCAUGUAAAUGACAAGUUUCUUUUUCAUGGGCUAUGGUACUUAUCUACUACAAGAAACAUGUAUAAACAUAGUCUUUAUCUUUAACUUCAGUAUUAAAAUAUGCAGAGUUUUUGUGAAGAGGAAAAACAUCUGGUUCAAUUACUCUGAACUCUGACUGCAUGUGGGCCAGUAAUAAUAAUAUGAAUUGGAUUUAAGAAUAAACCUUAUAUUUAAUCUUUUGUUUUGUUUUUCCUUAAAAUUUCGAUGUGAGUUUUCUGCCACGUCAAUUAUCCAUGUUAGCACAUUUGGAACAAAUGUAAAAAUGUACAUUCUGAAUAAAGUCAAAAGUCUAACUUGUUUUAGUUCCAUAAUGUUUUAAUGUUUAAUUCUAUUGUGUGUUUCUCUCCCUUUCCCCUGACCCUCCAAAAUCACCAAAUCUGGAAAACAGACUGAUUGUAUCUGCCCAUGAGCAAAGGAAGCCCGAAGGAACCAAGGGCCUGGCUGGACGGAGUUGUCAUGUGACUGCCUGUCUACACUUGCUGUGCAGAACAUCCGCUCACCUGUACAGCAGGCACAGACAGGCAGUCACACGACAACCCAGCCUGAAUGACAACCAGCCAUUGAAAGAAAGCAGCCCUCACACCAUAGCAUCUACACCAAGAACUACAACCAAAAUGAGGGGCGCGGGGGCCUGGGGUUUUAAUCUGUUGGUUUAAUACUUAAUUCGUAUGUAUUAUUAUUAUUAUAUUUUGAUUCGAAUAUUGAAACCCACCAAAAGUAAAGUGAGUGGUGCCUAUGAAAUAUAAUAAAACCCAUUUUUGAAAAUGUU